ACACUUAUUAAGUCCGGAGCGAUUAAAGUGAGGCGAAACGAGAGGGAUCGCGAGCGAGAAGCGGAAGGAAACGGGCCUUCAUCGCAGUGCCAGUCUUCUUAACAUAGGCUGCACCACAAGCUUCUCUAGUGGCUAAGGAUGUUCAGUGGAGGACUCGAACCCCAGACCCACCAGAGCGUAGGACCCGGCCAAACCCACUGCACCACCACUCCCCUGCAGCCAACGGGUGCCAAAGUUAAUUCAGCUCCCUCCAUGGGGUGA
rnacentral:lncRNA from 1 species